UUGUUCAGAGGAAAACUAAUGACCAACAGUAAUCCGAUUACCUUUAGAUCUCACCGUGCCGUGUGACAGCGACUCACAGCAUGGAAAACAUCUCAGAGGACAAACACAGACGAAGGCGACAGAAGAACACGAGCGUGUGUUAAAGCGUGGGCGUGUCCACAGAACGAUCAACACGUUUCUGCACGUGUGUCAACUUUGUACAUGUACGAGCCACGACUGAAGCUUCCAGACAGAGAGCACGAUCCUCUUCUGUGGCACAUUUUCACAUCCUGCCACUUCGAGACAGCGAGAGCCCAGAUAGCACAAGCUCGCAGGUCCCAGAACGACGAGUGGCUGCGACUGAAAUAGGCUCUCUAAUCAUCUCCUGCCGGCCUGACGCAGGAAGGAAAAUGUUUGCUGAUAAACCGGCAGCUCCGACUCCCCACAGCAGCUCGUCUCUCAGGUGGACCGCGCCUGCCGCCGUCCUUCAAGCUGCCACAAACUUAUAGUCGUGAAAACAACAGGAACAGGGAAAACCUUUAACUCCAGGACUGCACCGAUCAACAGCCUCACAGGAUUUUAAAUUUGUGCCGUCAUGAACUUUAACCUGAGGGUUGGACACUCUGACAUCUCGUUUCUGAAGAACGACGGACUUCAGAUUAUUUUGAAACGACCUUAAAACGCCCCGACUGAUGAGCAGCAGCGGCGUUUGUUUCUCUGAGGUCUUUGCUGAUGUUUCCUCCCUCGCAUCACGUCCUCGCACACCUGAACACUCCCACGUCUGCUUUCACAGGCGUGCUCAGCCUGAUGACCAUCAGCAGCUCCUGGCUCAGCUUCUCGCCGUGUGGCCUCAGGAUUCCCGCACUCGGAUUUUUAUUAAACAAUAACUCAGUUUAAUGUGUCGGACUUUGAUUUAUCUGAGGUUGGUUUAUUUCUGUCGUGUCCAAAUAUGUAAACCCUGCAAAUUUAAAGAGCUGCUUCUGUCGUCUCACCGCGAUGCAGCGUGUAACAACACCGCAGUCACCUGAUCCACCGCCAUCAACACGAUCACUUUCAGAAUCCUCGACAGAGGAUUCGCCACCUUUGACCACUCCCACUCAAGUUUCACACAUUUACUCAUGAAAUCCACUUCAAACUUAAUAAUUUUAAGUUUGGGAAACUGCAGAUUUUCCUCCGAUUGCGAGCUGUGUGGUCCAUCAGUUCAUUCACAGAGACCGAGCCCUGCAAAGCUCGGGGAGCCGAGUCUCCCACGAGACAGCAGAUCCACUUUUGUCCGACCGACUGUAAACACUCAUUGUGGUUGAAUUAGAAGUCAAACCGUCACUUACAGGUUUAGGUCGGCUUCAAAGAUGUUUGUGUUGUUAAUCUGCUCGUGGACAAAAGCGUCAUCAGUCAGAGUGACUGUGUUAAUCUGAGCGACAAGUCCGGGCAGAGGACAGCUCUCAGUCUCCCACCACAAGAAUGCCGAACGCGAGGAGUGGCAGGAUUAGUGCUGCAGACGCCUGGCAGCUCCACUGCUAACAGAAACACACAUGUGCACGCAACAAAAACAGCUGCACGCACAUUUAAACCUGCUGCUGCCUCACAAAUGAUCCAAAGCCAGCAUCCAGCACAUCUGAGAGCUGCAAAGUGUCGACACACACGCACACACACACUCAUGAAUCUGAAGAUUCAUGAGUAUAAUUAGAAUAAAAAAGUUUGGAGUCCCAUCUACUGAUAUCAUUUUGCGUUAGCUUUGCACUAAAGUAGAAACUUCCUCCAAAAAGCUACUUUUACUUUCUAACUGAGUAGAUUCCAGAGCCUGUACUUUUCCACUUUUACUCGAGUAAAGAAGUUGAAUCAGUACCUCAACUUUUACUGGAGGAUUGUUAACAGUAGUAUUUGUACUUCUGCUUAAGUACAGAAUGUCGGUACGUUUGCCACCUCAGGGUAGUCCUCCAAAAACCCAACAAAGCUCCGGUCCACCAGGAACGGGACAGAAACCCAUCAAAGAUGACAAACAGCAGGAAAAGCUCGGCCGUGUUUGCAACGAUCACUUCUCAUUGUGUUUGACAUUUGGCUUCACUUCAGCUCUUUUAUGUCAGACGUUCAAAGCUGCUCUAGAAGAAAAAUCUGGAGCUCGGCUGAAGCAGAACACGAAGUUAAAUUAGGAUUGGACAGAUUUGCUGUGAGGGUCAAAGGGAAAGUUUGACCCCUGCUGUCACGUCUCACUGUUCAUUACUUCCACUGCUCAGAACAAUCAAACACAAUCAGACUGCGUGCGCUGUGUUACCAGUCAAACCUACUGUCCGCAAUUAAAGUCAUCAAAAUGAACACUGUUCCUGGAUUUUUUAUUAUUUUCCCAACUUUUUAACUUUAUUGCUGAUAUGAUUGUCCUGAUUUCCCACAGUGCUCCCUGAUGGCUGCCUGCUGUGCCAAACCAUUAAAAA